GUCGUCAGCUCGUGUCGUGAGAUGUGGUUAGUCCGCAACGAGCGCAACCCCUAUUGUUAGUUGCCAUCAUUCAGUUGGGCACUCUAGCGAGACUGCCGGUAAUAAACCGGAGGAAGGUGGGGAUGACGUCAAAUCAUCAUGCCCCUUAUGACCUGGGCUACACACGUGCUACAAUGGUUGGUACAACGAGUUGCGAGUCGGUGACGGCGAGCUAAUCUCUUAAAGCCAAUCUCAGUUCGGAUUGUAGGCUGCAACUCGCCUACAUGAAGUCGGAAUCGCUAGUAAUCGCGGAUCAGCACGCCGCGGUGAAUACGUUCCCGGGCCUU
rnacentral:rRNA from 1 species